AGAAGGGGGGGACAAACUUAGCCAACUGCUACUUGAGGUGGGUGAAUGUUCAUUAUGUAGACCUUAUAAAUGAUUUAUGCAAUAACGUUUAAAAAGCUGCAUGAGAUAAAGUUAAUUCAAGAAAUAAGAUAUGGACCACACAUAUAAGCCCAUUAUAACUCUGUUAGCAAGAGCUCAAGCUGAACUGAGGUGGCAGAAGUGAAGUUCUGGGCUGCUGAAGCAGCUGGGAUGUGUGGGGCAGGGAAAGAAGGAAGAGGAAACUGCACAUGGUGUACGUGUUUUAGGGGAUGGGGGCAGAAAUCUGGAUAAGUAUUCUUGAUCCAGGGUUAAAGUAUAUAUGUACUGGAUGAGACCAUUGCUUAGCAAAGAUCACCAGUUGCAGAGCUGAGAGCGGACAGUAAUUCUAGAGAUGAUGCAAUAUUGGAGACUCUAGAGUUCCAGGCAGAGUGGAGAAACCUCACUGAGCACUUCAGGCUUUCAGUGGUGAUACAA
rnacentral:lncRNA from 1 species